rnacentral:misc_RNA from 1 species
GAAGUUUUUUCCAGCGAUUAAGAGGUAAGCACGUCCAUCUCAUCUGUAGGCUGCUUUUGUCGGUACAAAUAACUGGAACUUGUCUUCCCUUUAUGAAAAUUGAAAAGAUUUUUGCCUAUAGGCCUUUAAACUAAGAUCAUUUAUCCUCUAGUUAUCUAACGCAGUUUAAAUUAUUGAUUGGAAAAUUUUGUGAAAGGCUUGAUGACCAAAAUCCAAACUUCAUACUCAAAUUUGCAAUUAUGACAACUCUUUCAAUUUGAUCAUUUAUUUGCAUAACCUUUCAAAUUGGUGUCAGUUGUAACUAAAAUUAAAAAAGUUAAUGCU